GAUGAACGCUGGCGGCGUGCCUAAUACAUGCCAGUCGAGCGAACGGACGAGAAGCUUUCUUCUCUGAUGUUAGCGGCGGACGGGUGAGUAACACGUGGAUAACCUACCUAUAAGACUGGGAUAACUUCGGGAAACCGGAGCUAAUACCGGAUAAUAUUUUCAACCGCAUGGUUCAAAAGUUAAAGACGGUCUUGCUUUCACUUAUAGAUGGAUCCGCGCUGCAUUAGCUAGUUGGUAAGGUAACGGCUUACCAAGGCAACGAUGCAUAGCCGACCUGAGAGGGUGAUCGGCCACACUGGAACUGAGACACGGUCCAGACUCCUACGGGAGGCAGCAGUAGGGAAUCUUCCGCAAUGGGCGAAAGCCUGACGGAGCAACGCCGCGUGAGUGAUGAAGGUCUUCGGAUCGUAAAACUCUGUUAUUAGGGAAGAACAUAUGUGUAAGUAACUGUGCACAUCUUGACGGUACCUAAUCAGAAAGCCACGGCUAACUACGUG
rnacentral:rRNA from 1 species